GUCUUUGUAGCUUACAAAAAGCAUGACACUGAAGAUGUCAAGACGGUCGUUGCACACACACCCAAAGACA
rnacentral:tRNA from 2 species